rnacentral:rRNA from 1 species
CCUACGGGUGGCAGCAAUGGGGAAUAUUGGACAAUGGGCGAAAGCCUGAUCCAGCCAUGCCGCGUGUGUGAAGAAGGCCUUCGGGUUGUAAAGCACUUUCAGUGGGGAAGAAAGCCUUGGGGCUAAUACCCUCGAGGAAGGACAUCACCCACAGAAGAAGCACCGGCUAACUCCGUGCCAGCAGCCGCGGUAAUACGGAGGGUGCGAGCGUUAAUCGGAAUUACUGGGCGUAAAGCGCGCGUAGGCGGUCUGAUAAGCCGGUUGUGAAAGCCCCGGGCUCAACCUGGGAACGGCAUCCGGAACUGUCAGGCUAGAGUGCAGGAGAGGAAGGUAGAAUUCCCGGUGUAGCGGUGAAAUGCGUAGAGAUCGGGAGGAAUACCAGUGGCGAAGGCGGCCUUCUGGACUGACACUGACGCUGAGGUGCGAAAGCGUGGGUAGCAAACAGGAUUAGAUACCCCUGUAGUC